UACGUAGGGUGCAAGCGUUAAUCGGAAUUACUGGGCGUAAAGCGUGCGCAGGCGGUUGUGCAAGACAGAUGUGAAAUCCCCGGGCUUAACCUGGGAAUUGCAUUUGUGACUGUACGGCUAGAGUGUGUCAGAGGGGGGUAGAAUUCCACGUGUAGCAGUGAAAUGCGUAGAUAUGUGGAGGAAUACCGAUGGCGAAGGCAGCCCCCUGGGAUAACACUGACGCUCAUGCACGAAAGCGUGGGGAGCAAACAG
rnacentral:rRNA from 1 species